rnacentral:rRNA from 1 species
GACGAACGCUGGCGGCGUGCCUAACACAUGCAAGUCGAGGGUUUUAGUAGUAAUACGAAGAACACUGGCGCACGGGUGAGUAACGCGUAGAUCAUCUGCCCCUAACACUGACAUAACAGUUCUAACGGACUGCUAAUAUCAGAUGUGAUAAGCAAUUAUUAAAGGGUAACCGGUUAGGGAUGAGUCUGCGUCUGAUUAGGUAGUUGGUGAGGUAACGGCUCACCAAGCCUACGAUCAGUAACUGGUCUGAGAGGACGAACAGUCACACUGGAACUGAGACACGGUCCAGACUCCUACGGGA